GAGGGGACCAAGAAGGGAUGGGAGGGGGAGACGGUCUUGCAAAUGAGCUCGCGUGCAACUCUGGAAACGCCUGUGCUAAUGCAGGGGGCGUGGGAGAGGUGAACCAGAGGUGCUCUAAGGAGAGAGCGAGCGUGCCUAAUCGGGGUACAUAGAAAUGCAAGCUUUCCUCUUGUCAAGAGGGAAAACUUUGGGAAAAGGGCAAGAAUUAAUCGCCCAGGUGUUGAAAGUGCAAAUGAGUGUGCUAAACGUGAAUGGAAUAAGGAAGUGGAGUUGCUCGGCUCAGGAAGGCUCAGGGAGGCAGACCAGGGUGGGGCUAAUAGGCCCCCAUGGAGCUGGAGUCUGAAGUUUGCUCGUGAAACAGAUCUGCUGAAGGCCUUCACCAAACGACCUCGGAAGUCCCCUUCUUUUGCCAGUCAAUAGAUGAGUCAGCAAAUGCACAACGAGCUUCUCCUGUGAGUCAAGUCCUGCCCAGGCUCUGAGGAUACAACUGCAAACAAGAUACACAAGAACGUGAUGGAAGUGAGGUUUGAGUUCUAACCCUAGGAAUCAAAUGCCUUGACUUGUCAUGAGAACAGUUCUGAGCUAGCCUGCUGGAGAGACCACACGAAGUAGAGCCAUGGCUCCUUGCUGACAGCCACCAACUGCCUGACAUGAUCCAUUAAAUAAGUCUGGGAAAUACUGCAGGACUUCUUCAUAGCCUUUAAUGAGAACGGAUGCAGUAUUGUGUGUCUCUAAGAGGAAAGAAGGAUGUGUAGCCUCUCUCAACUGUAUUUGAGGACACAACAUUUUCCCCAGACACCAGCUAUUAACAUCUCAAGGAACUAGCAUAUCUGGAAAUGUACUUCGGGAAAUGCUAUCCCAUGGCACUAGUUCCUAAUUCUUUUGAAGUUGAAAGCAACCUCCUCAAAGUUUUAUGCUCUAUACUUAAGAGGAAAAUUAAAGACAACAGUGAUUAUUUAUGUUUUGUGCUUGACUUUGCAAAUUACACAACUUAUUCUGCAAUGAUUGUCAAACAACCAGACUAGGCUAUGAUCACACCGCUUAGGGUCCUGCAUGGGGUGAUGGGCA
rnacentral:lncRNA from 1 species